rnacentral:rRNA from 1 species
CCGGCGCACGGGUGAGUAACGCGUAUGCGACCUGCCCGUUGCAGGGGGAUAAUCGGGAGAAAUCCCGUCUAAUACCGCGUAACGCCGCGGGGCUGCAUGGCCCUGCGGCCAAAGGGAGCGAUUCCGGCAACGGAUGGGCAUGCGUGACAUUAGCUAGUUGGCGGGGCAACGGGCCCACCAAGGCGACGAUGUCUAGGGGUUCUGAGAGGAAGGUCCCCCACACUGGUACUGAGACACGGACCAGACUCCUACGGAAGGCAGCAG